CAUACAUGACGCAGCUGUAUGAAAUACGGCACAAGUGGGAGAAGCCAUAUUUCAAAGGUGUUUUCUGUGCAAAGAUGACCAGCACACAGCGCAGUGAACGUACAAACAACAUGCUGAAGAAUAAUGUUCCACCGGGUUGUCCAGUGAAUAUGUUUAUCAAGAAGUACAUGAGACUUCAGUUUGACAGGGAAGCAGAGGAGAACUACGAGGAGAAACAGACACAAAUAAGUAGGCCUCUACAAUGCAAACUUAGCUAUCGAUCGUCAUCCUGGUAAGAUAUACACAUGAGCUAUGUUCGAGCAGUUUGGGCAUAUACUCUAUGAGUGUGGGGCAUACCAAGUUGAAGAGCUUGAGAAGGGGAAACUUUAUCGUGCGAUUCACAUGGAGGCUGCAAGGAGAGAAAAGUGUUGCAGAGUGUCGUACGAGGUAAAUGUACUGGAAGGGGGUGAUGAACUUGAAUGUGAGUGUGAGCCAUUUGCACACAUGGGUCUGCUAUGCAGCUAUGUUUUAAGGUGCUGGAUUUCAUUCAUAUAAUAGAGAUACCACAGAAACACAUCGUCAAGCGGUGGACCAGAGAUGCACGCGACAUACUACCGCCUCACCUUACUUAAUAUCUGAGAGAUAAUGCCCACAACAACCCAUUCAGCUUCAGGCAUUUCAACAUGUACAUGCAUGCCAUGGAGCUGGCGCGGAUGGGUGACACAAGUGUUGAGGCCUGUGAGAAAUUCAUGUCUCUCAGUAAGAGUUGCUUGAUAUAGAUAUGCAACACUUUGCAGAGGUGAAGGAUGGGCUAGGAGGAUAGCUUAAAAUGGAGAUGCCGUUAAUCAGGCACCAGUGCAGGCGACAAUUCUUGAUGGAAGUGGAGGUGCAUCUAUCGGAGCUUUGAAUGCUGAAGCUACUUCAGUGAACAAGUGGGAACAUGCUGGCUGGAUUGUUGGCUCCAAAGAAGCGAAAAGAGAUGGGUCGCCCAACAACUGCCCAGGAGAAGGCGCCAUACGAGGGUCUAAGCAAAUGGACGAGGUUCUACACGAUAUGUCGUCAGCAGGGGCAUAAGAGGACAACCUGCCCAGACCUGGCGAUAUCCUGAAGCCUGUUCGCAAACCGGCAAGGUGCAAAAAUUGUGGCGUUGAAGGUCACAGGCGAAACAACUACAAAAGAGUAGGUGAUCUAUGGAUGAGCGCCAUCUUUUUUUUAGAAAAGGAGGAUGACCCCCGGCCUCUGCAUCUGGAUGAUGCAUACGGCCACUUUAUUAAUUAUUCUCACAAGACCUUACAAAGUCAUACAACAGUAAGACUAAAGCCGCCGUCGGAUGAGCGCCAUCUGAUCAGUCGCUUCAAGUUUUUCUAUGUGUUGUUUUCGUGAAGAGUGUAAUUCUGUAGAACAAAAUGUAUCCGGUGGUUACUCCCUUUGUAGCACUCCCAAAUGGUUGCUGAGUGUGCUGGUCUGCUGUUAGUCAUAAC